rnacentral:rRNA from 1 species
AGUGGCGGACGGGUGAGUAACACGUAAGAAUUUGCCUUUAGGAGGGGGACAACAACUAGAAAUGGUUGCUAAUACCCCAUAUGCUCUCGAGUGAAAUGGAUUUUUCCGCCUAGAGAGAAGCUUGCGGCUGAUUAGCUUGUUGGUGAGGUAAUGGCUCACCAAGGCGACGAUCAGUAUCUGGUUUGAGAGGACGAUCAGACACACUGGAACUGAGACACGGUCCAGACUCCUACGGGAGGCAGCAGUGGGGAAUUUUCCGCAAUGGGCGAAAGCCUGACGGAGCAAUACCGCGUGAGGGAUGACGGCCUAUGGGUUGUAAACCUCUUUUUUCAGGGAGGAAUCAAUGACGUGUACCUGAAGAAUAAGCAUCGGCUAACUCCGUGCCAGCAGCCGCGGUAAGACGGGGGAUGCAAGUGUUAUCCGGAAUCACUGGGCGUAAAGCGUCUGUAGGUGGUCCAAUAAGUCAACUGUUAAAUCUUGAGGCUCAACCUCAAAAUCGCAGUCGAAACUAUUAGACUAGAGUAUAGUAGGGGUAAAGGGAAUUUCCAGUGGAGCGGUGAAAUGCGUAGAGAUUGGAAAGAACACCGAUGGCGAAGGCACUUUACUGGGCUAUUACUAACACUCAGAGACGAAAGCUAGGGUAGCAAAUGGGAUUAGAUACCCCAGUAGUCCUAGCCGUAAACAAUGGAUACUAGAUGUU